rnacentral:lncRNA from 1 species
GUGAGGUCUGUCUGUCUGUCUGUCUGUCUGUCUGUCUGUCUGUCUGUCUGUCUGUCUGUCUGUCUGUCUGUCUGUCUGUCUGUCUGUCUGUCUGUCUGUAUCAGUUUUCAUAAUACUGUCUGGGUCAUAUAGUACAUAAGGAAUAAGAUAUGUAUUUGUCUAUAAGGAGCCAGAAAGUUUUACAGUUCUGAGUUUGUUUUUCACAUGUACCUUAUGAUAAUGUUCUGAACUCCAAAUAUUUGAUAUUUUGGUCUUUUACCUGGGUUUGUGCAGGGUUAAAGUAAGAUUUGAGUAGGGUUACAGUUAGGUUUCAGCAGGGUUAAAGUAAGAUUUGAGCAGGGUUAAAGUAAGACUUGAGUAGGGUUACAGUUAGGUUUUAGCAGGGUUAAAGUAAGACUUGAGCAGGGUUCAAGUAAGAUUUACCUAGGAUUAAAGUUAGAUUUGAGCAGGGUUCAAGUAAGAUUUGAGCAGGAUUAAAGUUAGAUUUGAGCAGGGUAAAAGUAUGAUUUACCCAGGAUUAAAGUUAGAUUUGAGCAGGGUUCAAGUAAGAAUUACCCAGGAUUAAAGUUAGAUUUGAGCAGGGUUAAAGUAAGAUUUACCCAGGAUUAAAGUUAGAUUUGAGCAGGGUUCAUGUUAGAUUUGAGCAGGGUUAAAGUUGGAUUUGAGCAGGGUUCAAGUUAGAUUUGAGCAGGGUUAAAGUUAGAUUUGAGCAGGGUUAAAGUUAGAUUUGAGCAGGGUUCAAGUAAGAAUUACCCAGGAUUAAAGUUAGAUUUGAGCAGGGUUGAAGUAAGAUUUACCCAGGAUUAAAGUUAGAUUUGAGCAGGGUUAAAGUAAGAUUUACCCAGGAUUAAAGUUAGAUUUGAGCAGGGUUCAUGUUAGAUUUGAGCAGGGUUCAAGUUAGAUUUGAGCAGGGUUAAAGUUAGAUUUGAGCAGGGUUAAAGUUAGAUUUGAGCAGGGUUAAAGUUAGAUUUGAGCAGGGUUAAAGUUAGAUUUGAGCAGGUUAAAGUUAGAUUUCAGCAGGGUUAAAGUAAGAUUUGAGCUGGGUUAAAGUUAGAUUUGAGCAGGGUUAAAGUAAGAUUUGAGCUGGGUUAAAGUUAGAUUUGAGCAGGGUUAAAGUAAAAUUUGAGCUGGGUUAAAGUUAGAUUUGAGCAGGGUUAAAGUAAAAUUUGAGCAGUUUUAAAGUAUAUCUCACAGGUCAACAGUUGUGACUGUACUGUGUGUUUCUGUUUGACAGCUCUGUGUGUUGUGGAGUCAGCUGUCAUUAAGGAAGUGGUAGGAGGACAAUUCACUGUGGGCUGCUCAUUCACUUGGGCAGGGACCAACAAUAAAUACUUCUGCAAGGGGAGAUGUUCUAGUAAAGACAUUCUGGUUGCAACUAAGAGGAGCAAGACUGUAACUCAAGAUAGAUACAGUAUAGAAGACAAGGGAAAUGUAUUCUAUGUGACAAUCAAGGACCUGAGGAAGUCAGACUCAGGGACCUACUGGUGUGGAGUGGGGAGAUAUGGCCUAGACUCAUACCAAGAGGUGCAUCUCACAGUUACAGAUGGUAAGUUUACUCUCAAUAGAUAUUGGUAUCUAGUAUUUAUUAAUUAUGGAGAGGCUUCCUGACUUAUUUCCUGACAUGAAGUUGUUUCAGUAGUGGUGUUUAUCUGUACUUUCUAUUGACUCACAGCUCCUCCCACUUCUACACCGUCACCACUCACCUCCAGACCCCAUGUCUCCACAACCCUCCCAAACCUCUCUGCAACAUUAUCUAACAUCUCCACGUUUAUGGCAUCUGGAGACAUCAGUGGUCACUCUUCAUCAAGAGCAGGUAUGAUGCAUCUCUCAUCUUAGACAUUACAAGUACAUCUCUCUCUCUCUCUCUCUCAAUUCAAUUCAAUUCAAUUCAAUUCAAUUCAAAGGGCUUUAUUGACAUGGGAAACAUAUGUUUAUGUUGCCAAAUCAAGUGAAAUAGAUAAUGAACUAAAGUGAAAUAAACAAUCAAAAAUAAACAUUUCCCUCCCCAAAGUUCCAAAGGAAUAGAGACAUUUCAAAUGUCAUAUUCUCUGACCUCUUUAGAUUCUUCUCCAUUCUCGUGGAGCAGGACAGAGUCAUGUCUAUUGAUUUCAGUGGUGGCUGAAGUGUCAGAAGAAAGAAGUCAGAUUUAGCUAACAAAUCAUUUACAUCUGUCCAAGGGAAGAUUUGAGGCAAUGUUGAUGUGUCUCUCAGAGGCCCACAGGAAGUGAUGCAACAUUUGAGGUUUUGUGGAGAGCUGCUGCUGACACUAUGGCCUCUGUUGCUAUGGUGACUAUGAUCACUAUCUUAAUCAGUCUCUUUAUCACACCUUUAUUAUCCAUCUUCUCUGUCUCUAUGUAUAUCUGUCUGUCUGUCUAUCUGUCUGUCUGUUUUUGUCUGUAUGUCUGUUUUUGUCUGUAUGUCUAUCUGCGUUUAUGUCUGGAUGUUUCUGUCUGUCUGUCUGUCUCUCUCUUUGCCUGUCUGUCUGUCUGUCUGUUUUUGUCUGUAUGUCUAUCUGCGUUUAUGUCUGGAUGUGUCUGUCUGUCUGUCUCUUUGUCUGUCUGUCUGUGUAUUUGUCUGUAUGUCUAUCUGCAUGUUUCUGUCUGUCUGUCUGUCUGUCUGUCUUUGUCUGUCUGUCUGUUUUUGUCUGUAUGUCUGUUUUUGUCUGUAUGUCUAUCUGCGUUUCUGUCUGUCUGUCUGUCUGUCUGUGUAUUUGUCUGUAUGUCUAUCUGCGUUUAUGUCUGUAUGUUUCUGUCUGUCUGUCUGUUUUUGUCUGUAUGUCUGUUUUUUUCUGUAUGUCUAUCUGCGUUUAUGUCUGGAUGUGCCUGUCUGUAUGUCUGUCUGUCUGUCUGUCUGUCUGCCUCUGUCUGUAUGUCUGUCUGUCUCUUUGCCUGUCUGUCUGC